rnacentral:rRNA from 1 species
GACGAACGCUGGCGGCGUGCUUAACACAUGCAAGUCGAGCGGAGCGGCGAACGGGUGAGUAACGCGUGAGUAACUGCCCCCCUCUCUGGGAUAACCGUUGGCAACGGCUGCUAAUACCGGAUAGUGGGGGAUGACUUGCGUCCUAUCUGAUUGUUGGUGGGGUAGUUGCCUACCAAGGCGACGCCGGGUAGCCGGCCUGAGAGGGCGACCGGCCACAUGGGGCUGCGAUAGGGCCCAAACUCCUACGGGAGGCAGCAGUGGGGAAUAUGGCACAAUGGGGGAAACCCUGAGGCAGCAACGCCGCGUGCGGGAUGACGGCCUUCGGGUUGUAAACCGCUUUCAGCCAUGACGCGGUAGUGGCAGAAGAAGCACCGGCUAACUACGUGCCAGCCGCCGCGGUAAUAC